rnacentral:rRNA from 1 species
AUUGAACGCUGGCGGCAUGCCUUACACAUGCAAGUCGAACGGCAGCACGGGAGCAAUCCUGGUGGCGAGUGGCGAACGGGUGAGUAAAGUAUCGGAACGUGCCCAGUCGUGGGGGAUAACGUAGCGAAAGUUACGCUAAUACCGCAUACGAUCUAUGGAUGAAAGCGGGGGAUCGCAAGACCUCGCGCGAUUGGAGCGGCCGAUAUCCGAUUAGGUAGUUGGUGGGGUAAAGGCUCACCAAGCCGACGAUCUGUAGCUGGUCUGAGAGGACGACCAGCCACACUGGGACUGAGACACGGCCCAGACUCCUACGGGAGGCAGCAGUGGGGAAUCUUGGACAAUGGGCGAAAGCCUGAUCCAGCCAUUCCGCGUGCAGGAUGAAGGCCCUCGGGUUGUAAACUGCUUUUGUACAGAACGAAAAGGUUUCUACUAAUACUAGGAGCUCAUGACGGUACUGUAAGAAUAAGCACCGGCUAACUACGUGCCAGCCGCCGCAGUAA